CUGCAUGUUUUGGCCCUGGGCCGGUGUAACCCUCUCGAUCUCUGUAGAGAGUGGACAAGAACAAACAUGCUAGAUAAACAUUUGGAGUUAACAGGGCCACCAGUCUUUCAAGGUCAGACUGAGUCGGUAGUAUAAUACUCCAACACUC